GCCAGACAGCAAUCAAACCAUUGGUCAAACCCAGUCAUCUGCAUCUCAGGUCCAUUUCUCUCUCAUGUCCCAUACUCAGUCAGUGGGAUUUACCUUAUUGAUUAUGAAAAUGACAACAUGCCUUUUCUAUGUGCAUUUCCUUUUAAAAAGGAAUAUAUAAUACAUAAAUGAUAAUGUAAAUAAUACUAUGCAACAAUAGGACCCUAAUGCAGAUUCUCUAUUUUGUACUUGUCUAGGCAUUAUCCUGGGAUCUUUGGACGACAAAUACUGAGGCCCAGCCUGCUUCAGAUGCUGGUUUCAAUGCCAACUGGACGGCUGACUUUGGUUCUGCAGCUCAAGAUUUGGGAGAUGUUCAGCCUGCAACAGAUGGGCAAGGUUGGCCUCCUGCAGAAGGAUGGUCCACAGAUACAGUGCCCCAAGGAGA
ensembl:lncRNA